CAGUGGCCACGGUAACACGAAGGUCCCGAGCGUUGUUCGGAAUCACUGGGCGUAAAGGGAGCGUAGGCGGCGUGGUAAGUCAGAUGUGAAAUCCCGGGGCUCAACCCCGGAACUGCAUCCGAUACUGCCAUGCUAGAGGAUUGGAGAGGUAGCUGGAAUUCUUGGUGUAGCAGUGAAAUGCGUGGAGAUCAAGAGGAACACUCGUGGCGAAAGCGAGCUACUGGACAAUAACUGACGCUGAGGCUCGAAGGCCAGGGUAGCGAAAGGGAUUAGAGACCCGCGUAGUCCCUGUCUCUUAUAC
rnacentral:rRNA from 1 species